GAUGAACGCUGGCGGCGUGCCUAAUACAUGCAAGUCGAGCGAAGCGGGGACGGGUGAGUAACACGUGGGUAACCUCCUAUAAGACUGGGAUAAAUUCGGGAAACAGGAGCUAAACCGGAUAAUUAUAGAUGGAUCCGCGUUGCAUUAGCUAGUUGGUAAGGUAACGGAGUACCAAGGCAACGAUGCAUAGCCUACCUGAGAGGGUGAUCGGCCACACGGGAACGGAGACACGGUCCAGACUCCUACGGGAGGUAGCAGUAGGGAAUCUUCCGCAAUGGGCGAAAGCCUGACCGAGCACCGCCGCGUGAGUGAUGAAGUUCUUCGGAUCGUAAACCUCUGUUAUUAGGGAAGCGGUAUCUAAUCAGAAAGCCACGGCUAACUACGUGCCAGCAGCCGCGGUAAUAC
rnacentral:rRNA from 1 species